UACAGAGGGUGCGAGCGUUAAUCGGAAUUACUGGGCGUAAAGGGUGCGUAGGUGGUUUGAUAAGUUAGGUGUGAAAGCCCUGGGCUUAACCUGGGAAUGGCGCCUAAUACUGUUGAGCUAGAGUACUGUAGAGGAAGGUGGAAUUUCCGGUGUAGCGGUGAAAUGCGUAGAUAUCGGAAGGAACAUCAGUGGCGAAGGCGACUUUCUGGACAGAUACUGACACUGAGGCACGAAAGCAUGGGGAGCAAACAGG
rnacentral:rRNA from 1 species